rnacentral:lncRNA from 1 species
UUCACAUUUGUUAUACUUUAAUAAUGACUGUAGAACACCUGGUUUAACCAGUUAAUUUUAGAGACAACCAGGGAAUAUAUAGCUGUAGCUAUAACAUAUGGAAUAUGCAUUAAAAUGAAUUAUGUAUUUUAAAGGCAUAAUAAAUGAAGUAGCAAAGAAAAUGAUUCAGGGAGUUGACCAGUGGCCCAGACCCCAGGCUGCACUGCAGCAUUUGUGCAAGAUAUAGCUUCUGUAAUGUGUCUCUGCAGCUGAUUCCAACCACUUUUUAUUAUUAUUAUUAUUGUUUUAAGGUUGUAAUGAUUUGACCGCUCUGACUAACACUUUGCUACAUUAUUAAUGCAACACGUCCCUAUAAAGUCCAAAGAUCAGUUGCAAAGUUCAGUAGUCAGCCUUCAUUGCCAGCCUCCAAACUAACGUAGUAACUCUUAUCUGUGGGAACAACUGAUAUAAUGCAGGAGUUUUUCAUUGCAAGUGCAUUUGCUAUGAAACAGAAUGCUUGGAAAAUAGAAGAGAUUCAGCAGAGGGAGAAGGUGAAUUUGUACAGGGUCUACAGCUUGUGAUACCACACUACAUG